CAGCCGCCGCGGGAAUACGAAGGGUGCAAGCGUUACUCGGAAUUACUGGGCGUAAAGCGUGCGUAGGUGGUGGUUUAAGUCCGUUGUGAAAGCCCUGGGCUCAACCUGGGAAUUGCAGUGGAUACUGGGUCACUAGAGUGUGGUAGAGGAUAGUGGAAUUUCCGGUGUAGCAGUGAAAUGCGUAGAGAUCGGAAGGAACAUCUGUGGCGAAGGCGACUAUCUGGGCCAACACUGACACUGAGGCACGAAAGCGUGGGUAGCAAACAGGAUUAGAGACCCCGGUAGUCCCUGUCUCUUAUAC
rnacentral:rRNA from 1 species